GAGGAAAGAGGGAGGCGUGCCUAAUACAUGCAAGUCGAGCGAACAGACGAUGAGCUUGCUCCUCUGACGUUAGCGGCGGACGUGUGAGUAACACGUGGAUAACCUACCUAUAUUACUGGGAUAACUUCGGGAAACCGGAGCUAAUACCGGAUAAUAUAUUGCACCGCAUUGUUCAAUAGUGAAAUACGGCUUUGCUGUCACGUAUAGAUGGAUCCGCGCCGCAUUAGAUAGUUGGGAAGGUAGCGGCUUACCAAGGCAACGAUGCGUAGCCGACCUGAGAGAGUGAUAGGCCACACGGGAACUGAGACACGGUCCAGAGGACUACGGGAGGGAGCAGUAGGGAAUGGUACGCAAUGGGCGAAAGCUUGACGGAGCAACGCCGCGUGAGAGAUGGAGGUCUUCGGAUCGUAAAACUCUGUUAUUAGGGAAGAACAAAUGUGUAAGGAACUAUGCACGUAUUGACGGUAACUAAUCAGAAAGCCACGGCUAACUACGUG
rnacentral:rRNA from 1 species